rnacentral:siRNA from 1 species
AGGCAGGGUAAGGGUAAGACAUGA